rnacentral:tRNA from 1 species
GUGGGUAUAGCUCACUGGUAGAGCGUGUGCUUAGCAUGCACAAGAUCCUGGGUUCAAUCCAUAGUACCACCA